rnacentral:rRNA from 1 species
UGGGGAAUUUUGGACAAUGGGCGAAAGCCUGAUCCAGCAAUGCCGCGUGUGUGAAGAAGGCCUUCGGGUUGUAAAGCACUUUUGUCCGGAAAGAAAUCCUUGGCUCUAAUACAGUCGGGGGAUGACGGUACCGGAAGAAUAAGCACCGGCUAACUACGUGCCAGCAGCCGCGGUAAUACGUAGGGUGCAAGCGUUAAUCGGAAUUACUGGGCGUAAAGCGUGCGCAGGCGGUUUGCUAAGACCGAUGUGAAAUCCCCGGGCUCAACCUGGGAACUGCAUUGGUGACUGGCAGGCUAGAGUAUGGCAGAGGGGGGUAGAAUUCCACGUGUAGCAGUGAAAUGCGUAGAGAUGUGGAGGAAUACCGAUGGCGAAGGCAGCCCCCUGGGCCAAUACUGACGCUCAUGCACGAAAGCGUGGGGAGCAAACAGGAUUAGAUACCCUGGUAGUCCACGCCCUAAAACGAUGUCAACUAGUUGUUGGGGAUUCAUUUCCUUAGUGACGUAGCUAACGCGUGAAGUUGACCGCCUGGGGAGUACGGUCGCAAGAUUAAAACUUAAAUGAAUUGACGGGGUCAUAGCUGUUUCCU